CGUGGCUGCUUCAGCAAUAUCUGGUGAAUAAAGCAAGUAGGAGCUGGCCCUAAUUAGGGAUUAUAGGUGAAGCUGAGCUAUGGAAAACUGAGGAUGGACUGGUUUUGAGAAGACGUUAAUGGCAAGAUCUGCUCAAGGACAAGGAGCAGUUGGUGACUGGUACAAACCCAGAGCGGCUCAUUCAAGCUGUGAUGACCAGGACGGAGCCUUGGUUUUCCUGUGUCAGCUGUAAGGAGCCCAUGUGUGUGGCUAACAUUUUCACGUCUCUGCAAACGUAACUGGCGUUAGCAGCUCUCUGACUGCAGAUCUACACACAAGGCUGCGGCAUGGAGUCUACGAGUGGGAUUUGCUCUCCAGCUGAUGGAUCAGGCACAUUACAACUGAAGGAGAUAAUGCCUUAGUGAGGAAUGGAAGUGGAUUCUCAGCAAAUAGGCCGGGAAAGCCAAUGUCUCUGUUGGGGAAGGGGACACGGAAGAGUGUUGAGCAGCCAGGUGACGAGACAACCUCUUGUGGUCAGUCUUAUGGAACUGACUUGGACUAUGGAAAAGCAAGGUUAUUGAAUUACAUACAACCGUCACGCGGAGCCUCAAGACUGCGGGAAAACCACCAACAAGAGUCACCUCUAAAGCCUUGAUCUCCGGAUUAGUGCCAUCAACCAAGCACUGAAAUCUUUUCAAUUUGAUUUAGGCCAUUUUCCCUACUUGGGUUUAUUAUGUCCAUCGAUGUGGAAAUGAGACCCAAACUCCGGAGAGCAAUCGGGAAGAUGUCUCCUGUGUCUCCAGCUCUCUGUCCCUGUCAUUCUGGGUUCUGCUUAGCGGUCAGCACAUAUCAGGAGGCUUGCUGCACACUGGAUGAUGAUAUGCAACAGAUUUGAAGGUAAACCACCACUCACGAGGCCUUCACACAGGAGGGCCAUGUGGACUCAGGGCUGGUGGUGUGUCAGACAAACAGGAACACUGAGCAAGAGCUUGCAAGUGUUAGCCUUAGCAGAGGAGACAC